ensembl:lncRNA
AAUAAAGAGACAGGGUCAUUAGUCGGCACUGGAGUGUGUGUAAUGAGUUCCUACAGGUUCCUGCAAGUUCCUGCAGGUUUCAGAAAGUGAUGCAGCUCCCAGCAUUGAUAUUACGCAGCUUUGCAGCUUUAAGCAGCUUAUUCCAAAAGUAUUGAAUUAAGCACCAUCACUUCAGAAAUCCAUGGAUCCUACUCCUCCUCCACCACCAAAUACUGCUCAUUCUUUCAUAUCAGCUGUUGGCAAGUAGGACAUGCGUUACAGAAGAUAUUCAGGUAUUUAUUCAGCAAUGUUUGCAGCAUUUUAAAGGUGUGGCAAUGUUGGGAUUGUAGCUUAAAAUGCCACUCAAGUCCUAAUCAAGCUGGGCAGUGUUAGUGUGCAGUAAACAGCAGCAAUACAUUUGCUAAAUUAAACAUAUUAAUACCAUACGAUUAGACGUAGUAUAUUCUAAUUUAAUGUAAUAAAAUGUUUGCUAGAAUUGUGUAAAACA